GUUGGCCAAUCCCCGCCCCCUGCACGCCUUACCACUCUCCUCUUGCUUUGCUCAGGCCGGUGCCAUCUGCCAUCUUGCUGUUGCCCCAGGGCCUCUGCAUCUGUCCCACCCUCUGUCUGGAAUCUUUGCCCAGGGCUGAAUGCUUUCUGUCAUCCAGGGCCAAAAGGAAUGUCCCCUUCCUAGGGCGAUUUUUCCUGUCUCCUAUCUAAAGCAUCUGCCCCUCUCGGCACUCUACCACACCACCUUCACUAUACCUAUCCCCAGCUAACAGGAUCUAGAAAGGCCCUCCCGCUUAGGGCAAUGUUUAUUUUCGAAUGCUUGCUUAAUGUGCGCCCAGGUGCACACCUCAAUCAGCCCCACCCGGAUCCAGAUGCAGACGAUUUCCAGCCUCGCCACCCUUCCCGGUCAAUGAUGCCCCGGCUCCCCGAGCCCGGAGAGGAAUCGCCUAAUAAAACUCUGAUCUGGAAAAGGGUCACAGAUGUUUCUGCGAGGAUCCCCUGAAGCUCGUGAGAAUGUGGCCUCCAGGUGUGGAUUUCAUGAAAAAUGUCGGCCUCCAGUUCCUCGAGGAUGUGCCAACUCCACACCGAUUUAAUUUCUUAGAGAUAAGUGGCAUUUGAGACCAUUCUUCUGAUAAGGUAAACUUCCCUUGAUUAAAGAAAAAGGGAGGGUUCAACUCUGUGAACAUGGGUUGAGUACCUAAUCUGUGUAAGCGACUGUACCAGUCAUGGCUUGAAAUAAAGUAAGUUAAAUAGAGUCUGUGCCCACAAGGACGGAUGGCAAUAGCAGGGCAGGAAAAGCAAGACACUAAUGAAAUCUAAUCCCACGUGAGACAAGUGAGGGACAGUGGAGCCAGCCAUUUUGUGUUGUGGGGGGAGGGGAAGACAGAGAGAGAGAGAGAGAGAGAGAGCGCGCGCGAGCAUCCGGCUUGGAAGAGAAGCAAAGGCUCCUGAAGGAUGUGGCGUCCCUGAUGGGUCUUGAGAGAUGGGAGACCUUCCACCAGUGAUGAUGAAGGGAGCGAAGGGUAGGUGGGGUGGACAGAAGAGGGUGAACUAUUAUUUAAAAAUGAAAUGCAUACAGACUGGCUCAGUCAGUAGAGCACGUGACUCUUGACCUCAAGGUUGUGAGUUCAAGCCCCAAGUUUGGUGUAGACAUUGCUUAAACACAAAACCUUAAAAAAAAAAAAAAAAAAGAAAUGCAUA